AUGAGCGGGCAUUAUUUAGGCCAAGUGUUUAAUAUUCAAUAUUUUAUCUUUCCACAUCACGGGAAUGAGCUCGCGCAAAGCCGAGUAGUGAAUCCUGAGAGUGAGGUCAAAUGCUGGAUGCAUAUGGGUUUUGUCAACGACAAUGGCCAAAAGGCGGCAAAAGUAGACAAAAACUUCUUCACUAUCAAAGAUCAGAAACUAGAGCAACAGUCCAGCAGAAAAGGAAGCAGCCAGAGAAGAAGCAGCAGUAGGAAAAGAAAUAGUCCGAGGUUCAGUGGCGCAUUCUCCAGUGCUCUGCAGCUUCUUCGCCAUUAUUGA
rnacentral:rRNA from 1 species